UGAGGAAUAUUGGUCAAUGGACGCAAGCCUGAUGCAGCAACGCCGCGUGAACGAUGAAGGUCUUCGGAUCGUAAAGUUCUGUUGCAGGGGAAGAUAAUGACGGUACCCUGUGAGGAAGCCCCGGCUAACUACGUGCCAGCAGCCGCGGUAAUACGUAGGGGGCUAGCGUUAUCCGGAUUUACUGGGCGUAAAGGGUGCGUAGGUGGUCCUUCAAGUCGGUGGUUAAAGGCUACGGCUCAACCGUAGUAAGCCGCCGAAACUGGAGGACUUGAGUGCAGGAGAGGAAAGUGGAAUUCCCAGUGUAGCGGUGAAAUGCGUAGAUAUUGGGAGGAACACCAGUAGCGAAGGCGGCUUUCUGGACUGCAACUGACACUGAGGCACGAAAGCGUGGGUAGCAAACAGG
rnacentral:rRNA from 1 species